CUUCACAUUGCACAUACAACAAAAUUCACAUUAUUAGCACAGCAACUAUACCUCAUAGGAUGAAAAUACUUGUAAAACAUACAAAAUCAAGUUCUUGAUAUACCGAUAAACUAAGAGUUUAUUUUACUCCAACAAUGGACAUUAGAAACCUAAGUCUAUCACCGACUUCCACCAGAUCAGAGGAAUCCUUGAUUGAGGCAGGUGGCCCAACUCCAGUGAAAAUGUAAAGAGCCUUAACCUCCUCAAUACAUGUCCUAUGCCGUGCAGCUGUAUAUCCCAGUAUUGUGCACAUUGCAUCAAUUUGUUUCCAUAUAUUCUCCUCGCUAUAAGGCACCUGAUCAGAAAUUCCACUAUGUUCCAGCGCAUGUUCCCUUGAUGGAAUAGUGAGUUCCAAGGAAUCAGCAUUUUCUUUGAGUUUGUAACCUGGCUGCUCACUCCCUUCUGGCGUUCCAUAAUCUACAGAGGAAUUCUGCAGGUCAGCUGCAUUUUUAUCAUCAAACAAGUUGAAUGCACUUUCAUCUGCAAUUUCUCUUGCAUCUACAUUUGAAGAAAUUGUAAUCUCCUCAUCCCUAUUGAGUUGAUGAUCUAGUUUGCCAUGUUUAACCAUAUGUUCCUGUGCUCUUCCUGCAGACUUCUCCUCUUCUUUAAUGUUAUCAUCAGCUCUUUUGCCAAAUACUUGUUCCUUUGGGACAACAGGUGCUCUUUCUGUAGCUCCCUUCCAUUCCACCUCCACAGUUUCAAGUAAAUUUACCUUGUCACCAUUUUCUUCUAUUCUGCGAUCAAUUGUCCUGGCCUCUAUGCCAACCUGGCCAUAAGCAUUUCUUUCUCCUAACUGUGUUGUGGCUUCUUUGACAUUUCUAUUGGUUUCCGUUAGCCCUUCCUCUACAUCACUGUGCAAAUCUUCUGCACUCUGCUUGUCUUUGUCCACUCCUUUAUCAGCUUUACCCUCAUCCCUAAUUUUUUCUACUAGUCUUCUAGUCUCCCUCAUUAAUUCCUCAUUGUCUUCAUUAUCUCCUCCCUGACAUAAUUCUACAGCCACAUUUGUUACUUCAAAUGGUACCUCCUCCUCUUUAGUAUUGCUGCCACUGUUCUCCUUUCCCUCAAUUACUAUCAUAACUCCACAUGUCUCCUCUGCUGCAUCCAUGUUUUUUUGCUGCUGGUGGAUCUUCUUUCUCCUUUUCCCUUAUUCCUUCAAUUUGCAUGUCAAUCUCUUUUGAUGAUUCUUCUUCUUCUUUUUUUACAUCCUCAUUGACAUCUACAUCACAUCCAUUCUUCUCCACAGUUUCAUCCUUAUUAUUCAAGAACUCUUUCUCAUCCUCCUCAAUUCCCUUUUGAGCAUAAAUGUAACCCAUCAAAACAUUCACUUCAUCCUCAUUUCCCUUCUCAUCCGGCACAAACCUUAUCUCAGCCAUUCUUUUUAGCUCUGUUUCCUCUUCUUCCAUAUCAUUAUUUCCCCCAAACUUUCCAUCUUCUCCUCCAUAUUUUUGCAGACCAUCUUCCACGAUAAUAGGAUUUCUGGGACUUGGAAGUAAUUUAUUCAUGAUCUUCUCAGUGCAAGCAUAGGUUGCUAAGAAAAGUCCAUAGGGGACUGAACAAGCAAACCCAAGUGCUGAGAUAACAACAAGAGGUGGAAGAACCACUGGUGCAGAAGAUAAGACAAAACCAGUAAUCAACAUCUUCUUUCCGAAAGCCAAUCCUUUAUCAAAAAUCCAGCUCACCUUUCCACUGUUUCCUUCAUAUCCCCGGUUCUCCCACUCCAUAGCCUGGUCUUCCAUUCUGAUUAUAGAGGUUUAACGGCGGGCAUCAAUGAAUCCUGUAAUGGGUUAAUGUAGGAGGAGAGAAAAGCGAGAGAGUAUAGUCGUCGAGUUGAGAUUUGAGAGGGUGGUGGAAAUAAGAAGAAGUAUUAGUUGAUGACACGCGUAGGAAAGAGGAGAGAGACAAAGAGGGAGAUCUGGCAGUAUCUGCAUGGUGCUCAUGGAGCAGAUGAUCAUUGAUGGAUAAGCUUUACCCAUUUCAACGUGGCUGCUGGUGACCAUCGCCAUUAACUCGAAUGAUAGAAAGAAAAUUUGCCCAUUUGCAACAUCUCAUCGGCUAACCAAAUACAGAUGCUGGAAACUCCCUUCUUCCUUUCUGUUCU
rnacentral:misc_RNA from 1 species